AGUUGCCAUUCAUCCUACCUCUUCAGAGGAGCUGGUCACCCUGCGCUGAGAGCCUGGGGACCCAGGUGGCUAGCGGUGCGACCAGCAGGCCUCCGGGAGGAACCGAUCGAGUUUACGCCCAGCUUCUACAGAUCUCUGUAUUUUAAUCAGGAAUUUCUGGUGGUGUAAAUUUCCAGCUAUACACACGCACAGAAGAACUUAUGUAUCUAAUCAGAAGGUUGUUUUGUUAAUCCGGGGUUGGUUUUCAUUUGAUAAUAUUUAUAAUUAAUAUUUUGAUUUUUUUGUUGUUGUUUAAUUAACAGCCUUGUGUUUGUUGUGUUUUUCUUGCUUUGGCCCCAUUCCAAGUUUAAAUGUACAUGACAUACACUCAAGUUAGUGUACCUGAUGGAUGAAUAUUGCUGGCUAAUUUCUUUUAUUUUUUAUUUUUUUCCUUUUUUUAUGCAGCCCAAGGUGGCCUCAAACAACUCAGAAUCCUCCAGCUAUAGCCUCAUGGGUGCUGGAAUUCUAGGCCUGCAUGGCCUCUCCUGGCCUAGCUUGCUAGUUUUAUAUGAUGGGAAGUCUGCAGAAUAUACGUGGUAUUUUUGUUCUGUAUUGGAAAGCUGCCCCAAUGUUACCUCUCUAUUCUUGUUUUAUUCUUUGCUCUGUGUUAAAUGAUUUAAAAUGGUUUGUGUUAUUUUCAUGGAACAAAGUGCAUUAAAGUUAGACUUGAGGCUGGUUAGGUAAAGGAGAAAUGACAGUACAUGCAAGACGGAAGGCUGAGGCACUCGGGAGCCCUUUCUUCUUCUGAGUAUUCCUGGUUCAUUCAGUCAUUUCUGUAUCUCUGCGUUUGUUUUUUUUUUUUUGUUUUGUUUUUUAUGAAAACUGUUCCAAAUUUUUGAAAUUCACUGCAUUGUCUUAUAAAAUUUAUUACGAACU
rnacentral:lncRNA from 1 species